GGAGUUCUUUGAGCCAUGCCUAUUUUUGGAACUGAUACAAUGGGAUGCUAAGUGCCUAUAAAGGUGGGGCAACUUGUAAACUACUUAGACCUAAAAGGUGAAAACUUACUCAGAGGUUUUCUCUUAAUGAAAUUAGUCGACAUAGCAGCAUUUUUUUUUCUGACUUACUAAAGAUAUUAAUCUACUCAGCUGUGAAUUCAAAAUGGGCUGUCUUUUGGAAAACAUCUACAGUGAUUGGUAGAUGGAAGAACUUAGGGGAGGUGACAUAGGAGAUUUUGCCCUUAAAAAUAACAGCUCAGAGAAGAGCUGGAGGUCAUUCUGAAACAUGCAGAUUGAGGAGGACUCAUUCUGAAACAUUCAGAUUGAGGAAGGACUGAUUCUGAAACAUUCAGAUGGAGGAGGGAGCUGGUGAAGUCAGCCGAGAUGGAGCUGACCUGGUGUCACUAGAAUCCUUGCUUAGGCAGACCUUGUGGGAAGUGCAUCCAUAUCCACAUUGGAAUCUACACAGGAAGAAUGAAGUGGAGAUCUUCAGGCAACAAGAGAAGAUAUUUUCCUGAAGAGGAUGUGGAUAAUGUGUACAAGGAAUGACCAGAAGCAAAGAAAAUUCGAAUUUGGAAGAAAUGAUUCAGAAGAGGAGCAGAUGGAACCCCCAAGACCUGGGGGAAUGGGAUGGAAUUCCAGCCAGGCUCAAAAGCAGUUGGAGAUCUUGGGCUCUUUGGAGCUGGGAGGGAGAACUACCUUUACUCUCUCAAUCCUGUUAUCUGAGCAGAAGAAAGAAGAGCUCAUUUCUCAACUGGAGACAAUCUUUGAGAUAAAGACCCUUUUCCCCUUAGGGGAAUCCAGAACUUAUUUCUGAAGAAAAUUCCUUAGUUAGACCUUCAAGAGCUUUAUAGGGAAGAAAUCUUAGGGACUUCUUCCCCCUGUCCUUUUCUAUUACCCUUUCAACAACCUUUUAUCCAAAUAAACUAAACAUCUUGAUUUAUAAUAGAACUUGA
rnacentral:lncRNA from 1 species